rnacentral:rRNA from 1 species
GACGAACGCUGGCGGCGUGCUUAACGCAUGCAAGUCGAACGGAAAGGCCCUGCUCUUGUGGGGUGCUCGAGUGUCGAACGGUUGAGUAACACGUGAGUAACCUGCCCUUGACUUUGGGAUAACUUCAGGAAACUGGGGCUAAUACCGGAUAGGAGCUCCUGCUGCAUGGUGGGGGUUGGAACGUUUCGGCGGUUGGGGAUGGACUCGCGGCUUAUCAGCUUGUUGGUGGGGUAGUGGCUUACCAAGGCUUUGACGGGUAGCCGGCCUGAGAGGGUGACCGGCCACAUUGGGACUGAGAUACGGCCCAGACUCCUACGGGAGGCAGCAGUGGGGAAUAUUGCACAAGGGGCGGAAGCCUGAUGCAGCAACGCAGCGUGAGGGAUGACGGCCUUAGGGUUGUAAACCGCUUUCGCAUGUGACGAAGCGUGAGUGACGGUAAUGGGUAAAGAAGCACCGGCUAACUACGUG